UACGAAGGGGGCUAGCGUUGCUCGGAAUCACUGGGCGUAAAGCGCACGUAGGCGGCUUUUUAAGUCAGGGGUGAAAUCCUGGAGCUUAACUCCAGAACUGCCUUUGAUACUGAGGAGCUAGAGUCCGGAAGAGGUGAGUGGAACUGCGAGUGUAGAGGUGAAAUUCGUAGAUAUUCGCAAGAACACCAGUGGCGAAGGCGGCUCACUGGUCCGGUACUGACGCUGAGGAGCGAAAGCCAGGGGAGCAAACGGG
rnacentral:rRNA from 1 species